rnacentral:rRNA from 1 species
CGCUGAACUUAAGCAUAUUAAUAAGCGGAGGAAAAGAAACUAACCAGGAUUCCCCUAGUAACGGCGAGUGAAGCGGGAAGAGCUCAAGCUUAAAAUCUCUGUGCAAGUUUUGCAUGGCGAAUUGUAGUCUAUAGAGGCGUGGUCAGUGCAGGCAUUUGGGGUAAGUUCCUUGGAAGAGGACAGCAUCGAGGGUGAUACUCCCGUUUGUACCUGAGUGCUUUGCGCGUACGACCCGUUUUCUUUGAGUCGCGUUGUUUGGGACUGCAGCGCAAAGUAGGUGGUAAAUUCCAUCUAAAGCUAAAUAUUGGUGCGAGACCGAUAGCGAACAAGUACCGUGAGGGAAAGAUGAAAAGAACUUUGAAAAGAGAGUUAAAGAGUACCUGAAACUGCUGAAAGGGAAGCGAAUCGUAUCCAGUGUCUAUAAUCUCUGGCAUAUUUCAUUGGCGUGCGUGCGCGUGYCGUUUGUUGGAAGUAGCUUGCUGCUCCUCUUUCGGUUCUGCGUGUGUCUGUCGGUGCCCUGUGUCGGAGUGGGACGUCAGAGUCAGUUCGUAUGCUGCGGGAAAUGGUUACUGAGGAGGUAGGUCCGGGGCUUGCUCUAGGCUGUUAUAUCUUGGUGACUAGUGGUCGUGGUUGGGACUGAGGUGCCUACAACGUGCUUUGGGGUCUUUCGGGCUCUUGCGUCUCGUGCCGUUUGGAUAGCUUGCUAUGCUGGUGGCAUUGUGGUGUGAUGGAGUUUGUUAGCAACCCUCGCCGUUCGGGACUUUGACGAAAUGGAGCGAUUCGGCCCGUCUUGAAACACGGACCAAGGAGUCUAACAUGUGUGCAAGUGUUAGGGUGUGGAAACCCCAGCGCGGAAUGAAAGUGAAGGGUAGCGUACGCUGCCUGAGGUAGGAAACCUUUGUUUUCAGAGGUGGCACUAUCGACCGAUCAUGAACCUUCGUGGUGAAAGAUUUGAGUAUGAGCACAUAUGUUGGUACCCGAAAGAUGGUGAACUAUGCCUGAGUAGGGUGAAGCCAGGGGAAACUCUGGUGGAAGCUCGUAGCGAUUCUGACGUGCAAAUCGAUCGUCAAACUUGGGUAUAGGGGCGAAAGACUAAUCGAACCAUCUAGUAGCUGGUUCCCUCCGAAAUUUCCCUCAGGAUAGCAGCAACUUAUUUACGAUAGUUUUAUGAGGUAAAGCGAAUGAUUAGAGGACUGGGGGAAGAAACUUCCUUCACCUAUUCUCAAACUUUAAAUCUGUAAGACCUGCAGGUUUCUUAAUUGAACUUGUGGAUGUGAAUAUCAAGUUGCUAGUGGGCCAUACGGGGUAAGCUCGUCUGGCG